CUACACAUGCAGUCGAGCGGAUGAGAAGAGCUUGCUCUUCGAUUCAGCGGCGGACGGGUGAGUAAUGCCUAGGAAUCUGCCUGAUAGUGGGGGACAACGUCUCGAAAGGGACGCUAAUACCGCAUACGUCCUACGGGAGAAAGCAGGGGACCUUCGGGCCUUGCGCUAUCAGAUGAGCCUAGGUCGGAUUAGCUAGUUGGUGGGGUAAAGGCUCACCAAGGCGACGAUCCGUAACUGGUCUGAGAGGAUGAUCAGUCACACUGGAACUGAGACACGGUCCAGACUCCUACGGGAGGCAGCAGUGGGGAAUAUUGGACAAUGGGCGAAAGCCUGAUCCAGCCAUGCCGCGUGUGUGAAGAAGGUCUUCGGAUUGUAAAGCACUUUAAGUUGGGAGGAAGGGCAUUUACCUAAUACGUGAGUGUUUUGACGUUACCGACAGAAUAAGCACCGGCUAACUCUGUGCCAGCAGCCGCGGUAAUACAGAGGGUGCAAGCGUUAAUCGGAAUUACUGGGCGUAAAGCGCGCGUAGGUGGUUCGGUAAGUUGAAUGUGAAAUCCCCGGGCUCAACCUGGGAACUGCAUCCAAAACUGCCGAGCUAGAGUAUGGUAGAGGGUGGUGGAAUUUCCUGUGUAGCGGUGAAAUGCGUAGAUAUAGGAAGGAACACCAGUGGCGAA
rnacentral:rRNA from 1 species